UCCUUAUCGUCCGCUACCUCCUUGAAAUCCGACUUUAGCGCCGUGGUGGACCGGGCGCCGGAGUCCCGAAGCCCCUCAGUCACCGCCAAUCCGGGCCGCAUUACUCCCGAUAGCGGGGUCGAAACUAGACUCUUUACUCCGGACCUGAUGGUUAAAUCGUCUUCCGUCCCUACGCUACAGCGCCAUCUGUCUUCCAGCGGCGAAAGCGCUCCUUGGGGAAAGCCGGACACCCGAGAUCCCGUAAGAUUUUUAUUUUUAUACAACAAGAAUGACGCGGGUAGUAUAUAUAUAUUUUUUUCGUUUUUGCGCGGCCGCUAUAAAACGACUUUAAUAAACCGACACGCUCUUUCUCGCCACCUUUCCAAAAUUUAUAAAUAAUCGGCGCCGGAAGAAGUCGUUUUUAUUACCUUACCGAAUAAACUUUUUUAUUUUGUGAUUUUAGGAAUUUAAAAUAAUUUUUUUUUUGAAUUUUAAAUAUCGCGCGCUAAAAUGUUUUUGGCCGAUUAACUGGAAUUACCGGCCAUAGAUGGCGCGGAUCGGAAACCCAGUCGAGAAUAAAAUUCUCGUAUAAUUUAAAUACAAUAAAUGGGUCGUGCCCGACUGGUAAACAUUAUUAUUAUUAUUAUCGUACAUGGUGAGAAUUAGUUCCUUUUGCGUGUCUUCUUCCAUUAGAAGGAAAAAAUAAAAAUUGUCUACGUUCGGAAUACUAACAGCGCGCUAUAAAAUAUAAAAAAUGGUUAAAAAUUGGUUUCCAUUUUUUCAGAUUUGUUUCGUCUCCAUUAAUCAUUCUCGAUUCACCGAAUUACAGACUUUAGAAGCCUG
rnacentral:lncRNA from 1 species